GCAGCCACGAGGCUGGUAACCAUACAUUCAUAUAAUGUUCUCUUGUCGUCUUUCCUAUCUUUGAUUUCCCCUCAAAUAAUGUCUUUUUGAGUAUAAUAUCAGAAGGUAUGGAAUAAUAAGUGAGCUUCGGUGUUCGUGAAAGAACAAUACCAACAAGACUAAGAUUUAAUAAACUCCAAGUACAAGUUCCAAUUACAUAUAUAUAUGGAAGAAAUGACAAAUGUAAACAAAGAUAAUUAACCAUAAGCCAGUGUUGAUGGUAUAAAUUGGUGUAUCUAUUAACGGUACAGGUUUUGAAAGCCAUGAAAUAGGGUGCUGAAAUAAACUUAUUUUAACAUGCUCUCUAGUUGUGCUUAAAAAAAAAAAAACAUGCUCUCUAGUUUUUUUAAAUCCGAAAGAAAUAUGAGUUAGAUGUCCGAAUAUUUUAGGUAAGCAAAAAAGGUAUUUAAAACGUUAUUCUUUUAGGUGAAUUGAGAUUUUGGGGGAACAUGAUAGGAAAGGAACUGUGGCCUAUGAAAUGAAUGUUGAGAAAUGGACUAUAGCCUGGACCACAGCCAAAGUGUAACGGCCCGGUUCCUGGCCCAUAAAAAUUUCCCAAAGAUUAUGGGCUUCUCUACAACCCAUUUGACAAAACCCUAGGGUUUCCCCUUCCCUUUACUAUAAAAAGAGAUGCAGUCUCCCUUUCUGCCUCAUCACAAAUCUGAAGCGAAGCCCUGCAGAGAAUUCCCGGAGGUCGAAAACCCUAGCCGUCGAGCUCUCUCUCUCUCUCUCCUGCGCCGUCUCUCUCUCUCUCCUCUCUCUCUCCCGCGUGUCGCUCUCUCUCUCUCUCUCUCUCCUCGCCGUCACCCUCUCUCUCUCCUUGCCGUCGCACGCUCUCUCUCUCUCUCUCUCCCUCUCGCCGGCGCCGUGAAGGGGUGGUGCUGACCAGAUCUCAACCUUCUCAAUCCUCGUUUCCAGAUCCAGAUCCAGAUCUAAAACUAAGGACUGUAAGUAGAAGUAUAUGGAUGUGGGUAUGACGGUAUUUCAAAG